GAUGAACGCUGGCGGCGUGCCUAAUACAUGCAAGUCGAGCGAAUGGAUUAAGAGCUUGCUCUUAUGAAGUUAGCGGCGGACGGGUGAGUAACACGUGGGUAACCUGCCCAUAAGACUGGGAUAACUCCGGGAAACCGGGGCUAAUACCGGAUAACAUUUUGAACCGCAUGGUUCGAAAUUGAAAGGCGGCUUCGGCUGUCACUUAUGGAUGGACCCGCGUCGCAUUAGCUAGUUGGUGAGGUAACGGCUCACCAAGGCAACGAUGCGUAGCCGACCUGAGAGGGUGAUCGGCCACACUGGGACUGAGACGCGGCCCAGACUGCUACGGGAGGCAGCAGUAGGGAAUCUUCCGCAAUGGACGAAAGUCUGACGGAGCAACGCCGCGUGAGUGAUGAAGGCUUUCGGGUCGUAAAACUCUGUUGUUAGGGAAGAACAAGUGCUAGUUGAAUAAGCUGACACCUUGACGGUACCUAACCAGAAAGCCACGGCUAACUACGUGCCAGCAGCCGCCGCAG
rnacentral:rRNA from 1 species